GGUAGGACUCUCGGCAAUGGAUAUCUCAGCUCUCGCAUCGAUGAAGAAUGUAGUGAAAUGCGAUACGCGGUGUGAAUUGCAGAAUCCCACGAACCAUCGAGUCUUUGAAUGCAAGUUGCGCCCGAGGCCAUCCGGCCGAGGGCACGCCUACCUGGGCAUCACUC
rnacentral:rRNA from 1 species